AUGCAAAGUAAUGGCAAAACAGAGUUGCUUAAUUCAAACUGAAGGAAUGGCUCACUUUCACACACAAAAGCAAGGUGUAAUCACUCUUACCUCCCUUCACUGCAUGUAUUUUCUUUCCUAAAUCUUAAUCUUCUGCCUUCACUAGUGUUUGCUUUUUUCCAGAACGAAAAAAAAUAUCUUUCUGGCAGCACUGAGUAUGGAAGGAAUAAGGAAAGUAACAGGGAGAAAGCUGCACGCGUUUACUAGGAAACAAUGCUGGCUGUAGAUGAACUACAUCAUGCCUUGACAUUCAGAACCCGAGCUGUUGUCUUCUAUGUUUUGUCUUCUGUGAAGAAGAAAACGUGUAAUAGCACCACAAACUUAUUUUUAGCCACCUUAUUACCUUGUUCCACCUGUUCAAAGCAAAAACAUCAUGAUCAGGACAGUUAUCAUCCUCAUUGCUAUAGAGGAAGUCCAAACAUUCUAGGAAGGAUGAAAAUCCAAUUUAAAACAGGAAGGUAAUACUAGGGGGAAAAAAAGUUACUUAUCCAAUUUACCGUGAGCUUCAAAACUCUAGCAAAGCACGUGCAAAACAUGUCAUGGCUGCUUUUAACCACUAGGAGACGUAUUCAGACCACCUCCCGUUUAUAACACACAUGGCGCAUUUUAGUUUUUACGUCAAGGGAACGGUAAAGAUCUUCUCUCAUCCAGAUCUGCAAUAACCUACAGACUAUCCAUCCUCGUGUUUGGGAUUGCCAAACUCCUGGGACACCCAGGAAUGCUCAGUGUGUCUCGAUCUGAGCUGAGACACAAGCUCCAAUGCAACACAAACUCAAAUUUCUUCACUGUCCCAGACUUUUGAGUGCAAUCAGCAAGAACAGACAUACUAACAGAGCUCCAAAUUAACAGGAAGUCACUUCAGCUGAAGAGUCCAUUGUCAUUAAUGACCCAUCCUAUUUUCACAAAGCUCUGUGUUCUUCUGCAAGGAGGAGCAAACUUGGCUUGGCUAGGAUUGUUACUUGCUAUGGGUUAAUGUGCUUUAUUGCCUGCAGCUGCCAUAAAACCUGAGGACAUUGGGUGUUUGACUGUUGUAAAUAUUAAUUCUUGCAAAGCUCCAAAAAUGUCUUUGGGAGAUCUUGCAUGCUGAUGAUAAUCAUAAUUUCAAGGCUCAUAUAUCACAAAUUUCUUUAGGAUAGUUGCAGAAAGACUGGAAUCUUUUUAUCCAAUUUCAGAUUGACCAAACAGGCUUCAGAGGGGAAGAGC